GGGAGACUAGAGUUAAGCUGCCACAGUUAAACAUCGCCGACGAUGACGACAGACUUGGGUGUGCGCCGACGACCAACUUAGGUAAGAUGUCAUAGUUAAACAUCUUCUCCGAUGACCACCUCUGUUCGAAUCCCUACUGCCGUGCAUAGAAGAUUAGGGCCGCAAGGUGCAUGAAGGUCAACCUCGCAAGUUACAUUUUCCAUCUACGGAUGCCAUGCAAUACAGUAUGUGGGCCAAACUGAACCUUACUAUUUUCCUUGCACGGAUGGCACGCAACAAAUUAGGCCAAUGCAAAUGGUGGACAAUAUUGGAAGCACAUCUCUUACUCAAUCAGGAAUGGUGAACAACAUACGUAGUCAAACUUCGACAGUUGGAUCACAAUUUGUUGACUUCAAUGUAGAUGUGAAUCCAAAUGGCCAAAUUUUUUUUUAGUUUAGUAGUACUACUUUUAUGACUUUGGUUUGUAAACAAUGGAUGGUUUGGUUUGGUUUGUAAACAAUGGAUGGAUGUUUGACUUGA